rnacentral:rRNA from 1 species
UACAGAGGUCUCAAGCGUUGUUCGGAUUCAUUGGGCGUAAAGGGUGCGUAGGCGGCGCGGUAAGUCGGUUGCGAAAUCUCGGAGCUUAACUCCGAAACUGCAUUCGAUACUGCCGUGCUUGAGGACUGGAGAGGAGACUGGAAUUUACGGUGUAGCGGUGAAAUGCGCAGAUAUCAGGAGGAACACCGGUGGCGAAGGCGGGUCUCUGGGCCGAUACUGACGCUGAGGAGCGAAAGCGUGGGGAGCGAACAGG